UUGGGUGGAAGUAGGCAUGAGAUGGGUGUUGCAAAUUAGUAUUAUAUAACUGACGAAGUUGAAGGGGUGAUUCCAGCUGAAUGUAAGUGUUUUGUGAUUUGUAAAUUGUAUUGUAUUUGUACUUGAAUCAAUGUUUUAAAUAAAUGUAUAAUGUUUUAGGCGUCUGAUGAUGACCGAAGAAUAGUAGGUCGAAACGCGUCACGCAAAAUAAGCUGUUUCCGUUAUUUUUCACCGAUAAUUGCCAAUAAAACCGCAUAAUAAUCGUUCACGGUGAUCAACCCCGGUCAGUAAAAAUCAGUUGGCAAAGAAAAGAUGUUAAUAGUCAAUGAAAUCACUAACAAGUAUGGCGAAGAAGGACGGCGCACGAUUCGGCGGUUUCUCAAAGUGUCUGUAAGGCUGGCGAAAGCGAACAACAGAAUGAAGUUUCUGCUGAACUGCAGAAGGUGUAAGAUUGUCCCUAACUGUCUCAACAUAAGGAAUGACAUCCGCCUUGAGAACGAUGCCUCAAACCGCGAGUUGGAGAAGGUUGUAUGGAGACACAAAAUACGACUCCUCAGCAUCUUGAUCGCGGACACGAAGCGAACAAUGGCGAGCUUGAAGACGCAGAAACGCGAGGCUUGCCGAAGAGUGCACGAAAGUUUUGACCCAGCCGAUUCGGAGAAAGUGAAGAAAAUGGUGGAAGACAAAACGGUGGCCGUAUACAGGAAAACCCGAGAAGCCGAAAAACGGAAAAUUUCCAGACUGCAGGAACAACACGUAAGAGAGAUGAAUGUGGAAGUGGAAUGGGUAGAGAACACCACCGACGUCGAACUACCAGAUUAUGUGGAGCGAACGCUAAUGCUCGGUCCGAACUUCAAUGUGGAAAGUGAAAAAAGGUUCCCCUAUAUCGAACUGGUAGCGAGCAUAGAGAAGUGCGUCCAAACGAAAGAAAACGCGGACGAAAUCAGAUCGGAAGUAACGAAUGCAAUGAUUAACCACAUGAACUACCAGCGACAACCACGACAUUCACCGGAAGAGUGGAUCCGGAAAGACGUCAUCAAGUGCAAAAAGUUCCUGAAAGAAAAUCCGAAUUUGGUCAUCACGAAGGCGGAUAAAGGCAGCAGAACGGUGAUCCUAACAGCGGAAGAGUACCAAACCAAGAUGAAGGAUCUCCUUAGCGACGAAAGCACCUACAAGAAGCUGUCGACCAAUCCAACCAACAGAGUCUUGAGAAAAAUCAACGGCAUGCUCGAUGAGUGGCACAACAAAGGAUACAUAGACGGACGCACGCAGAGAAGGUUGAAGGAGUCAAGCUGCAACCCACCGCGAAUCUAUGGACUACCGAAGACGCACAAAGAAAACAGGCCACUCCGUCCGGUUGUGUCAACGAUUGGCUCAGCUACGUACAACAUAGCUAAAUACCUGUCGGACAUAAUCGGUAACAUAGUAGGCAAACACGACUCCCACGUCCGCAAUAGUUUCGAUUUCGCCAGUGAAAUAACAGGGUUCCAGACGGACGAGAACGAGGUGCUUUUUUCGUUAGAUGUGGUUUCACUGUACACGAACGUACCAGUCGAUUUCGCUCUACGAUGCCUCGAGGAGCGGUGGGAAGAAGUGGAGCAACACACGAAUAUCGACAAAACGGACUUCGUGGACGCAGUGAAACUAGUAUUGGAAUCGACGUUCUUCGUGUAUCAGGGUGAUGUAUACGGACAGACAUUCGGUGUACCCAUGGGUUCGCCAUUAUCACCAGUAAUUUCCAAUGUGGUGAUGGAAAAAUUGGAACAGGAGUGCAGGAUGCAGCUGGAGGAGAAAGGUAUACAUCUGAAGCUGUACCGUAGAUACGUGGACGACUGCAUGUGUAUAGCUAGAAGGGAGCACAUCCAAACGAUCGUGGAUACGUUCAAUAGUUUUCACGAUCGUCUCCAGUUUACUGUUGAAAUGGAAGUGGGAGGGAAAAUAAAGUUUCUUGACAUGAUGUUGGAACGGGCGGAUGACCAAAUAAAUACAUCUUGGCUUCCGAAACAUUCUAACGGAAGGUACCUGGACUAUACGUCCAAAAGCCCGUUCCAACAUAAACAAAAUACCGCGAUCGCGCUAAUUGAUCGCGCCAUUAAGUUAACAUGUGGGGCGAAGCGGGAAGAAACGUUAAAACAAGCAACACAAAUCCUAGAAAGAAACAACUAUCCCUCCUGGUUCAUACAGAAACUAAAAAGACUCCGCAUACACAAACACUACAACACCUUGGAGGCCGACAACCGAACUACACUCCCACAGAAAUAUGUUUCCGCACCUUAUGUGCCUGGUCUUAGCGAAAAGUUGAGAAAAGUCUUAAGAAAAAAUGACGUCACUCUUGCUUCUAGACCGCAAAACAAAAUAAAAAACCAAAUAUUCAGCAAACUGAAGGACCCUAUACCACCAGGGAAACAGAAGAACGUGGUGUACUGCAUACCAUGUGGGGCUGACGAGAAGGUGUACAUCGGCCAAACGAAAAGGAUGCUAGAAGUAAGAGUGGCGGAACACAAGAAUGACUGCCGAGGUAGAAACCCGAAAUCGGGCCUGGCAGUCCACAAAAUGGAAGAAGGACAUAUCUUCAACUUCGAGCAAGUGAAGAUUUUGGAUCGAAUCCAAGACCAGGCAACCAGGAACAUAGCAGAGGUGUUUCAUAUUAAGAAGAGAGGAGAAGAUCUCACUGUGAACCUACAGAGAGAGUGUGGGAACUUCAACUCGGCUUACAACGGGCUUUUAGCUCAGUUGCGAAGACAACCGUGAGAGGAAAACUGCGUGUAUGAGAGAAUGAGUGAAACAGCAUAAUGGGUGAAAGUUGGGUGGAAGUAGGCAUGAGAUGGGUGUUGCAAAUUAGUAUUAUAUAACUGACGAAGUUGAAGGGGUGAUUCCAGCUGAAUGCGUCUGAUGAUGACCGAAGAAUAGUAGGUCGAAACGCGUCACGCAAAAUAAGCUGUUUCCGUUAUUUUUCACCGAUAAUUGCCAAUAAAACCGCAUAAUAAUCGUUCACGGUGAUCAACCCCGGU